GAUUUAUAAAAAACAAAUUAACCUUAAAAAUUAAUAAUUAUUCAUUCGGCGUUUGCGUGCGAUCCCCAACGAUAACACUACGGCUAAUCAUUUGCAAUGGGUGAAGAACGAGAGGUAAUCUUGAGAGAUAGGGUGAAAUUAUUCUAUCAGAAAAUAAAUUUAUUAUUGCUUGAACCAUAACGAUGGUGCAAGCAUUUAUUUCCAACUCAUUCAAAGCAUUAGAAACUUUGAGCGAAAAACAUUUACUUUAACUCAGCAACACAUUAUGAUCGCGUUAAAAAGCAUAGAAAAGGUUUCUGCGACUAAACAGAGCAUUUCGAAUACCCAUCACAGAAGGUGGGAUAAGGUUAGCUCAGUAUCGCAAUCAGGCUGAACAGUUACCCACUGUUAUACAGUUUGUAAGUAGCGGAGCCGUUGUUAUCUAUGACAGUAAAGCAAAGAAAUUUUGAUGCGUAAAAGACCAUGUCGUCUAUGUCGAUUUGCAAACGAGCUGACAGGUGCCUUUAUUUUAAAGAUCUUGUAGUGUUUAAGAAAAUGUCCAAUUUUCAAAGUCGUGCGUUAGAAACAGAGGAUAGAGGCGGAGUGCUAAAACAUUACAAUAUUAUUCAAGGCCACAUUGAUUUUGCAUAUAUCGCUUUGCAAAUAAAUCUCGCAGUAAUCCAUAUCAUCAUUCUAACAUUUUUUUUUUUUUUGCGAGAGAGGACUGGCAACGUAGAAAUCGCCACUUUAAUUUUUAAACAGCGACUUCAAUUGUUUUUUUUUUUUUCAUUUAUGUUUGCAGACGCCCACCUCCCAGCGCCCAAAUGAUAUAUGCAAAUACAACUUAUUUUUGUGUUACAUAUUGAUGCCAAUUUUUAACCUGACCAAUAUUUUCAUUCUGACCAAUCCCUUAAGGUACGCUCCCUAGUCAUAUGACAUGGUGUCGGUCAGAAAGGAGUGAGCAAAGAGAACAAGAUAGGGAGGCGGUAGCUGAAGCCUAGCGGGUGUAUGCUCAUCCGCCUAACGGCGGCAUUAUCUUUUGUCCGAAUCGCUGCAUGACUUUAGCAAAGUAUCUGAAUGAACUCAAGCAAAGGAAUAGGGCCAAGCGAGGAACAAGUGUCUUGUGACGCAAGAGCCCACUUUCCUUUGUAGAUGUAGAAGAGCCGGCAGUGCUUGAUGUUCGGAAUAUUAAUUGGUGUUGGCUGGACAUGCAGAACAUGUGAUCGAAGUGUUGUAAGCAGCUGUAAAGGAUAUGUUUUUUUGAUCCGGUGCA